rnacentral:rRNA from 1 species
GCUCGACGCGGCUACCAGAGCACCCGGCGGGCUGGCGCGCUCGCUCGUCGCCGCCGCCUUCGGCGCAGCCGGUACGGUGAUCGGUGGCAUGCUCGGCCUCCUGUGGGGCUUCGUCAACCAGGACGGCCUGGUGCAGGGCGUGGUCGUCGGGGCGGUCACCGGGGCCCUCGUCUCCGUGGAGCUCGCCGACUCCCUCCUCAGGAUAUGGACCUGCGGCGACUGCUCCAUGGACGGGCGCAUCAAACGCACGCGGCUGGUGCUCCGGAGCGUGGCGGCCGGCCGCCUCCUGCGCGGCUCGGUGUUCCCGGCCAUAAGCGGCGCGCUGGACAGCCAGAUCGAGGCGCUGUAGCAGCACCACUCCUCCGGAGGCGACAUGUUCGAGCCGAGCUCCGGCCCGGUGACGGCCGCGCGGAGGGCCGCCAUCGAGAGCCUCCCGGCGACGGUGCUCACCAAGGAGACCGCGGCCGCGGGGCAGCACACCACCUGCCCCAUCUGCCUCCAUGA